rnacentral:rRNA from 1 species
CCCGCUAUAGAGUUCCCCCCGGUGGCUCGCCAGAACCCCCAAUUUUUACAGGUUGACCUCGGAUCAGGUAGGGAUACCCGCUGAACUUAAGCAUAUCAAUAAGCGGAGGAAAAGAAACCAACAGGGAUUACCUCAGUAACGGCGAGUGAAGCGGUAACAGCUCAAAUUUGAAAGCUGCCAACAGGCCGCGUUGUAAUUUGUAGAAGCUGCUUUGGGUGUCGGCCYGGUCUAAGUUCCUUGGAACAGGACGUCAUAGAGGGUGAGAAUCCCGUAUGUGAUCGGUGCCGUUGCCCGUGUAAAGCGCUUUCGACGAGUCGAGUUGUUUGGGAAUGCAGCUCAAAAUGGGUGGUAAAUUUCAUCUAAAGCUAAAUAUUGGCCAGAGACCGAUAGCGCACAAGUAGAGUGAUCGAAAGAUGAAAAGCACUUUGGAAAGAGAGUUAAACAGUACGUGAAAUUGUUGAAAGGGAAGCGCUUGCAACCAGACUUGCGGGCGGUCGAUCAUCCGAGGUUCUCCCCGGUGCACUCGAUCGUUCUCAGGCCAGCAUCGGUUUCCGGGGUGGGAUAAAGGCGGUGGGAAUGUGGCUCUUCGGAGUGUUAUAGCCCACCGUGCAAUGCCGCCACUGGGGACGCGAGGACCGCGCUUCGG